UACGAAGGGGGCUAGCGUUGUCCGGAAUUACUGGGCGUAAAGGGCGCGUAGGCGUGGCUGUAAGUCAGGCGUGAAAGCCCCGGGCUCAACCUGGGAAUUGCGCUUGAUACUGCGGCGCUGGAAGGUGGGAGAGGAUGGCGGAAUUCCCAGUGUAGAGGUGAAAUUCGUAGAUAUUGGGAAGAACACCGGUGGCGAAGGCGGCCAUCUGGCCCAUUUUUGACGCUGAGGCGCGAAAGCGUGGGGAGCAAACAGG
rnacentral:rRNA from 1 species